UACGGAGGGUGCGAGCGUUGUCCGGAAUCACUGGGCGUAAAGGGCGCGUAGGCGGCUCGGUAAGUAGGAGGUGAAAUCCUGAGGCUCAACCUCAGGGCUGCCUUCUAAACUGCCAGGCUUGAGCACAGUAGAGGCGGGUGGAAUUCCCGGUGUAGCGGUGGAAUGCGUAGAGAUCGGGAAGAACAUCGGUGGCGAAGGCGGCCUGCUGGGCUGUUGCUGACGCUGAGGCGCGACAGCGUGGGGAGCAAACAGG
rnacentral:rRNA from 1 species